GUGUUCUAGAACUCCUAAAAACGGACCUGCCUUAGAAUCCUUGCCACUUCCAGCCCUUUGCCUAAGAUUAGCCUAUGGGAAGCAUGGCCUCUGUGUGAAUUGGUGGUGGAUUCAAAGCACAGCAUCUGGGGUCCUGUGUCAAUUACGCUCUCCUCAACAGAAGAUCUGAGUGGUGGUGCAUCUUCAUGGCUGCUGGCAGGCCCCGCUGUGUAAUUACGUCUGGAAUUGGUGGGUUCUUGGUCUCACCGACUUCAAGAAUGAAGCCGUGGAUCCUCGUGCUGACAGAAUCAAGUUUUAAAGAUCCAGUUAAAUGCCUGGCUAUCAACUUGCCAAGAGCUGAUCCAGAUGGAAGCCAUCAUCCUAAGAGUCAGACAACUCAUUAACUCUAAAGGGACUGCCAUGUAUUAAAAAUUCUCUUUAUGGAUUGUGAUGAGUUGCAUUGUUUGAUUUAUUCUUUUGUAUUCAAACUAUAUUUAUGGUGUAUCUAGAAAUAAAAUUACCUUUAAGAUAUAUUUAAAAUUUUUCACACAC
rnacentral:lncRNA from 1 species